ACUGCAGAGUCGUGAGGGCCCUGCAGUCCCGAGCGAAUGCUGCAUGGCCAGACGUGCCACACCUUCUCCCUCAGAUGGACUUAACAGACACCACUAUUUGGAAAGAAGUACCUGAAGAGAGCCCACUCUCCCAGUGUUACCUCAUCCUGGCCUCUCUGGGGGUCCUGCCUGAAAACCAGCUCUGGGACAGGCCUGGAACAUCACGGCCACGAUACUACAAUCAUGAUGAGAGUCACAGUGAGCCAACCCUGUGUUAACAGAGUGUUCCUGUCAUGGUGCAACUACACUGACAUAAAUGAACUGACAGAUCGCUGCGUGAGAUUGUUCAGCUGAGAAAUAGUCUGCAGGGCUUUCAGGAUAGACUGGGGUGGAGUAUGUUACAACGAGCAAUGUGAGCUGACAGCAAGAGAUUCAUACACUCGCUGUCAACUGCACUUUUGUAAAAUAAAAAGUACCUUGAAUUAUGGUUAGCA